CCAGCUGCAUAAACCAAGGGAAAAUAUAACUUCCUAAAAGCUCCAGACCCUUUCUUCUUCUAUUGUCCCCUGAGAUACAAUACUGUAGCCACAGCCUAGUUCGGCUGCUUCAACCACUCCUAAUCGUUCUCCACCGCCACCACGGCAAAUCUGGGCACACUUUGUAACAGAAGUCUUUUUCACUCUUUACUCCUCUUCUUCCUUCUCUAUUUGCUCUAGCCGCCGCCUUCACUCCACUAUGCAGUAAAUCAUUGUCGACGUCCCUCAGGUCAACUGAUAUCACCAGAGUAUAGCUCUCUUCCUCAUCAAUCUAUUUUGCUUCUGUUGGUUUGUAUUUUAUGUAAAUUUUGGUUUGAAUGCAGUAAUGGAUACUUCAAAGAUCGGAGUUCAAAAGCUUGAUUUUGCUAGUGCAAUACUGUAAGUGUAACUUUAUUAUUUUUUUUGUUUGUUAAUUUUCCGCUUUAAAUGUUACCGUUUAAGACGGGCAGGGAAAAGCCCGGCUACCUGUUCUUCUCAGGCUGUCUUUCAACAUCCUCUAUUGAAUCUCAAGUACUAGGCUAUUUUAUCCAAAUGACACAAAAAUAAUAAUAAUUAAUUAUGUUAAUGACUUAAAAGUGAUUUAAAGUGAACACUAAAGUGGGGUUAAGGGUAAUAAAUGGUGACAUUAGAUAAAUUUUUGACACAACCAUCAAGCGGUAAAAAAAUUUAGGGUGUUAAAGACACUUAUGGCCAGCACUCUAUUACUAAAUAAUAAAAAAAACAAUAUUUUUGAGUGUUGCAACAUUAAUUGUCGGCACCUCAAUAUCAAAUUUAAAAAAAAAAUAUUUUUUUGGUUGUUGGGACAAUAAUUUUCGACUUCCCAGUAGUAGAUUUAAAAAAAAAUAUUUUUUUCAGUUGUUAGGAUAUUGAUAGUCGGCACUCUUUCAAUAUAUAGAGUUAUUUUGUCUUUCAUUUAAGCUUUCUUUUUUCUUUAGUUGAAAAUGGAUAUUAAUAAUAUUAGUGUUUUGUUUGUUGAGGAGAAAGUAGAAAUUGUUGAAGAUGAGUUUUGAAAUUUUGUUUAUUUAUAUUUAUCUUGAUUGGGAAAUGAUAAAUACUGGUUUUUUAUAAAAAUAUUAUAAAAAAAUACAAAAUAACCAAAAUUUUAUAACUUUUUUAUUUACCAAAAAAUAUAUAUAUUUANNNNNNNNNNNNNNNNNNNNNNNNNNNNNNNNNNNNNNNNNNNNNNNNNNNNNNNNNNNNNNNNNNNNNNNNNNNNNNNNNNNNNNNNNNNNNNNNNNNNAAAAGGGGGGUCGGUGGUGGGGGGGCAGAAGGAGAGGGAAAGAAAGAAAGGAAGGAGAGGAAAGAAAGAAAAAGAAGGAAAGAAAAGGAAAGGAGAAGAGAAAAAAAGAAAGAAGAGGAAAAGGAAAGGAGAAGAAAAAAGAAAGAAAGAAGGAAAGAAAAGGAAAGGAGAAGAGAAAAAAAGAAGAAGAAGAAGAGGGAAGAAAGGAGAAGAAAAAAGAAAAGAAAGGUAUUUUUUUUAUAAAUUUAAAUUUUUUGUAAUAUUUGUAUGUUUAAAAUUUAUGUUAUGUACGUUAUAGUUAUUUUAUUAUUUUAUUUAGCAUAUACAUUUUAUAAAAUAUAUUUAAAAUAAAAAAAUAAUGGUAUGUACAUUGUAUGCUAGGGUUUUUUAUAAAAAUAUUAUAAAAAAUAAAAAAUAACCAAAAUGUUAUAAAAUUUUUUUUAUUUACCAAAAUAUAUAAAAAAACUUGCAAAAAAAACUGCACCGAUGUGACGACAUCUUGGUCAUGCCAAAGCCAUUGGCGGCAACAAAGGUGCCAAAACCAUUUGCGGCACCAAUGGUGCCAUACUGAUUAGCAGCACUACUCGUAUUAUAAAUACGAGUUCUGUCCAGCUGAAGGGAGAAAAAUCAAAAGAAAAAGAAGAAAAAGAAGAAAAAGAAGAGGUGCUGCGGAAAAGAAGAGAAAAAGAUAGAAAAAGAAGAGAAAAAGAAGGUAUUUUUUUAAAAAUAAUUGAUUAUAUUUUUGUUAUUAUUUUGUAUAUUUUGUAAUAUUUUUUGUUUUAAUUUAGUUAUUAAGAUUAAUAAAACUAAAAAUAAUAGUAUUAGCUAGUAUUAUUAUUAUUAUUGUUGUUGUUGUUAUUAGUAUUAAGAUGUUAUUAAUAUAUUAAGAUGUAACUCAGUAAUAUUAUUGUUAGCAAAAAACUAGUAUUAUUAUUAUUGUUACUUAUUAUUUUUAUUUACCAAAAUAAACUAGUUUGUAAAAAACUAGUAUUAUUAUUAUAGUUAGUUAGUUAGUUAUUAUUUUUAGUAAAAUUAAUAAUUUUAGUAUGUAUUAUUUUGAGUAUAAAAUUAUUAAUAUUAUUAGUGUGUUAGUUAUAAGGAUUAGUGGUUAAACGGUUUUCAUGUACAAAAUUGCAUAUUGAAACAUUAAAUUUUUUUAAGUAAUUUAGUUACCGUUCGAGAAUUUUUAUGAGAUUUUAUUUUUUUACAGAUUAAAUAUUGAAGAUGGAUGCUAAGUUUCUUGUAUGCGUUUAUUUCGAUGGAGUCAUCUUAACAACAAGUGUUGGAUGUGUAUUUAAAUGUCGGCAACAAAUAGCAAUGAGAUUUAAUAGAAAUGUAUCGUUCGAUGAAAUGAAGGCAAGAAUUAAUUCAAAAAUUCAUAGACGUUGUGGGAGAAGGAUAUUAAAAAUUUUCUACAAGUUUCCAGUUUCGAUAAAUCUGGUCAAAUUUGUCGAAAUGGAACUUGAAGACGACGAAGACGUGGGGACAAUGGUUGAUCUCUACUGUGGGAAUAAGAGUGAGAAGAAUGCACCGAUUCACUUAUUUGCUGAGUUAGUCGGUAUGGAGCAAAAUGAAGAUGUUAAUGCAUCUGAUGAAGAAGACGGGGCUGAAGAACCGUGGAUGGUGGCUCCAAUAUCAUACGUUGAUAGUGAAUCAACUAUGGGUGAGAUCGGUAUCGACCUGAAUAUUACACCCGAUGUUGACAUGGUUGGUGGUAAAGAAGAAGGUGCUGUCGAAUAAGAAAGCGGUGGCGAUCAUUGGGAUAAAGAGGUCGAUAGUGACGGUGAUACCGAUGUGGAUAAUGUACCUGAUGAUAUUUACAAUAAAGAUGUUAACAACGAUGAAGACAUUAACGCUUCUUCGGUCGAGGAGCAGAUGCGGCGUAUUUUGAUACACAAUAAUCUUGGGCCAUACAUGUCGCUCAUAGACCCCGACGCAGCAUAUGUAGCUGAGUUUCCGGAGUAUCCUGAAAUAGUUCAUUCUCACGAGCUGGCCGUAACAUCUGAUUAUUAUGAGUUAUUCAUAGGCCAGAGAUUCAGCUGUAAAGAAGAGUGCGUAUAUGCCAUUAAACGGUAUAGCAUGAAUUAUAAAGUCUCCGUGUCUACUCCGAAAAUAUAUGUUAGGGAGUGUUGGAAGGCAGCGGAAGGCUGCAAUUGGCGGGUACGAGCUGCAUUUAUUAGAAGUUCUCAGAUGUGGGAAAUACGAAAAUUUGUUGGUCCUCAUACAUGCACAUCAACAUGUAUGAUAGAAGAUCAUGAAAAAUUUGAUUCGAAAACUAUUUGUACGUGUAUCAUGCCAAUGGUGAAAGACAUGCCGAUAAUUAAAGUUUCGGUAAUCAUUGCAGAAAUGUAAGCAUGAUUCCAGUAUCGAGUCUAAUAUCAGAAGGUAUGGAUAGCUAAACAGAUGGCGAUGGAGCAACUGUAUGGGAAUUACGAUUUGUCGUAUAACGAGCUUUAAGGUUGGAUAGCUGUUAUGCGGGAGUACGUACCGGGGACUGUGAUUGAGUUGCAAACAAGUCCAUAUUACAGCCCGGAUAACCAGUUACAGCCGGUAAAAAGAUUUUCCAUCGGAUGUUCUGGACAUUCGAUCCAUGUGUGCGGGCAUUUCCCCACAGUAAGCCACUUGUGCAGGUGGAUGAGACCUGGCUGUAUGGAAAAUAUACACAGAUCCUACUUCUUGCAGUUGCUCAAGGCGGUAACAGAAACGUGCUCUCGAUAGCAUUUGCUAUCGUAGAUAAAGAGAACAUGGAGUUUUGAGAAUUUUUUCUUACAAAUCUGCGGAGGUAUGUUAUUAGGAACGAUAACAUUUGCAUCAUCUCCGAUAAAGGGAAGGGUUUAAUUACAGUUAUUAGGCGUUCCGGUGUGUCGUGAAGAUCUAUUUACUGCAUUCGUCAUAUUGCGUCUAACUUCCAUAAAGAUUAUAAGAAUGCAGACUGGAAGAGACAAGUCGUGGCAAUGGGUAAAUGAUAACCUUAUCUUUUCAAUAUAAGAUGUAAUGUUUGAUGUUAUCGACUUAUUAGAACUUAUUUUUCGUUAAUACGUAUGCAGCGUACGAGUUAGAGUUACAUAUUUUUCAGCAAAGAAUGAUCCGACUUGAAAGUAACAUGGAGGGGCAGACGAACACAUCUUUCCGACAAUGGUUGCGCACAAUAGAGUCGUGGCAGUUGACUCAAAGUUUUGACGAGAGCUUUCGUUAUGGCCACAUUGCCACAGAAAUAGAAUAGAUGUCAUGAAUAUUAGAAUAGCGUCUUACCCAUUCCCGGGCAUGCAGUUCAAUCCUAAGGCGGUAUAUUGGGACAUCACACGACUUCCCGAUGCCUAGACGGGUCGUCCACCUAAAUAAAACAGUAUAGGGUUUAGGGUUGGUAACAUUACUUAACAUAUUAUUACUACAAAUAAUGACAAUUUAUAUUUUAUCACCUGAGUGAUAGUGGAUACAGAUAGGGUUGUUGACUAACGCGUGCCAAAAACGGCAAUUAAUAAAGCGCCCAGGACUGCAGCAGUAUGAGGCAUCCGCCGAUGUCUUUAAUAUGCGGCUCUGUCGCCCGACAAAGCUCCCGGUACAGUGUUGCUAGAACGAUGGAACCCCAGCUAUACGACCUAGCAGUGGACAAAUAAGCUAGCAGGGGCAAGUACGACAAAUGCACACUGUCGCCGUUUGCAUCAGGCAUGAGUACUGCCCCUAUCAUAUGCAUGAUGUACGCUCGAGCAGCGCACAUCAACUCACCUUCAGUGGCGAUCGCUGAUAAUUGUCCAAUUUUAGCUUUUAGCCAUAUAAAUUUUAUGCCGAAAAAAUAUUUAUCACCGUCCUCUGGUGACUCUCCUAGGAGUUGAUAGCAAAGUGCAGUCGGAUCGGUGAAUGAAUAUACUCCCGUUAUGGGACUCCCGUCAAUUGGGAGCCCAAGCUGCACUGCAACAUCCUCCAAGGUCACCGUGCACUCCACGCACAGAAAAUGAAAAGUGUGGGUCUCCGGACGCCACCGUUCCACUAGCGCAGAUAAUGGCUGUUUUACCAAACUAACCCAAAAAUAAAUUAUGUUUGAAAAAAUAACCCAAGUUUAAAAACAAUCACUAAAAUAACCUAAAAUAAACAGUACCCACUCGUUUUUUGCACCAAUGAUUGUCUAAUAAUUGUGUCAGAAUUUUAAAAAUUAAGUUUUUGGGUUCUGGCCUAUCAGUGGUCGGAACCCAUGUAUUUUUUUAAAAAUUUGUAUAAUACUGAUAUAUGAAAAAUGAGGAAGAAAAAAAAGAAAAAAAUUAUUUUUUGGGUGCUGGCCUGUCAAUGGCCGGCACCCAACAGUAAAAAAAAUUUCUUUUUUUUUGUCAGAAUAAGAUAUAAAUAUACGAAAAAAAUAAAAAAAAAUUUUGGGUGCUGGCCUGUCAAUGGCCGUCACCCAGUACAAUUUUAAAUUUUUUUUUCGUGUCAGAGUCAGAUAUAAAUAUACGAAAAAAAUAAUUUUGGUGCCGGCUUGUCAAUGGUCGGCACCCAGUACAAUUUUAAAUUUUUUUUACUUUUUUUUCGUGUCAGAGUAAGAUAUAAAUAUAACGAAAAAUUAAAAAAAAAUUUUUGGGUGCUGGCCUGUCAAUGGCCUGCACCCAGUACAAAUUAAAAAAAAUUUCUUUUUUUUCGUGUCAGAGUCAGAUAUAAAUAUAUUAAAAAAAUUAAAAAAAAAUUUGGGUGCUGGCCUGUCAAUGGUCCGCACCCAGUACAAUUAAAAUUUUUUUUUCCAUGUCAGAGUCAGAUAUAGAUAUACGAAAAAUAUGCGCUAUUAAUAGAUAGAUUCAGUUCUUAGAGGAUACCUUAAUCGAAGAUGCAAGAAUUAAAGAAAUAAGUUUUAAAUUCUGUCAUAGAAAUUCUGAAAAAAAUUUAUCCUUAAUGUAUCGAAAAAUAUGCGCUAUUAAUCACACAAUUAUUUAGAAAUUGCAAACAUUUAGAUUUUGUUCACAUAUUAAUUGUCUUUUUAUUUUUUUUCUAUUUCCUCCUAUUUACUAUUACAAAAUUAAAAUCCCUCAAGUCCUAUAUAUUUUUUUGUAAAUUUAGAAUUUAGUUUGUAUAUUUUUAUUUCUAAGAAUUUAGUCCUAAUAUUUUAAAUAUUACGAAGUUAUAUAUUCAAACAAAUAAUUAUGUUAGAUUCAUUAAAUAAAUAUUAAAAAAAGAAAAAUAUAAAAAUAAAAGGAAUAUUUACAUAAUAAAUUAUAAGAAAGUACAAAUUAACAUAAAAAAUUAAAAUUGUCGCGAUCCUAGGGACGUGCCCGGCGCUGGCGUGUAACGAUCCGGAUGCCUCCGUCGGCGAUGCCGUGCACCUUGCUGAGGCGUUUGAUAAUUGCUCGGUCCAGAGUCCUGUGUCACUUCCGGUGUAGUUAAAAAGGUGGAAUAAUUAUAUUCACCAUAAUCGGGACUUAAUUGGUAUUGCGUGACCGGAGGUGCCGAUGGAAAAAUAUCCUCAGUGGUGGGUGUACGUGCUUCGGGGUGGAAGUCCGGGUGGUAUGGGGAUGACGAUCCGGAUCAUGUCGGAUGUUGACGGUGGAGGUUGUCACCAAAAAAAUCUUUAAAUGAUGGAGGAACUCCAUGUAAUGGAACCGGAUCUAUGAACUGUGAUGAUGAGUCGGAUGCUUCAUUUUCGGCCCCCAAUUCAGCCCCAAACGGCGGAACUCGGUUACUGCGCGGUUGGGCGUUCCUUGGUUGCCAUCGCGAAGAAUCAGGUCGCGCGUCUCUUUGGAUCAGCAUGUACUGACCCUGGAAUAUGAAGGGUUUCCCAUGUGCCAUAUACCAUGCUGCGUACUCGGGCGUAGGAGAGAACCCUCCCUCUAAGACAUACAAGGGAGGGCGCCUCAAAUGUCGCUGAUUCCACAGAAAGAUAUAUGGUUCAUAUUUCUGUGCCCAAUUUAAAGAGUCCCGAGUCGGUCCCUUUUUAUCCAUUCCGUGGACAUCUGAGAUGUCAACGGGAGGCUUCGGGAUAGGCUGUGCGCAACCGAAUUGCCUCAAAACCCGACCUCCAUCGUGCCACUCCACCAUAUAGAAAUUAAUCAACGGCACAUUAGACACGAACACGUGUUGCUGCUCAACCACCAAUGCUAUUAAUGGAUGCCAUAUACUCAGGAAGAUCUCGCGACACUCAUACCGUCAUGGGUGGUCGAGCAGCAAUACGUGUCCGUGUCUAAUGUGCCGUUGAUUAAUUUUCAUACGGUGGAGUGGCACGAUGGAGGUCGGGUUUUGAGGCAAAUCGAUUGCGCACAGCCUAUCCCGAACCCUCCCGUUGACAUCUCAGAUGUCCACAGAAUGGAUAAAAAGGGACCGACUCGAGACUCUUUAAAUUGGGCACAGAAACAUGAACCAUAUAUCUUUCUGUGGAGUCAGCGACAUUUGAGGCGCCCUCCUUUGUAUGUCUUAGAGGGAGAGUUCUCUCCUACGCCCGAGUACGCAGCAUGGUAUAUUGCACAUGGGAAACCCUUCAUAUUCCGGGGUCAGUACAUGCUGAUCCAAAGAGACGCGCGACCUGAUUCUUCGUGAUGGCAACCAAGGAACGCCCAACCGCGUAGUAACCAAGUUCCGCCAUUCGGGGCUGAAUUAGGGGCCGAAAAUGAAGUAUCCAACUCAUCAUCACAGUUCAUAGAUCCGAAUCAACUGCAUGGAGUUCCUCUAUCAUUUGAAGAUUUUUUUGGUGACAACCUCCACCGUCAACAUCCGACACGAUCCGGAUUGUCAUCCUCAUACCACCCGGACUUCCACCCCGAAGCACGUACACCCACCACUGAGGAUAUUUUUCCAUCGGCACCUCCGGUCACACAAUACUAAUUAAGUCCCGAUUAUGGUGAAUAUAAUUAUUCCACCUUUUUAACUACACCGGAAGUGACACAAGACUCUGGACCGAGCAAUUAUCAAAUGCCUCAGCAAAGUGCACGGCAUCGCCGACGGAGGCAUCUGGAUCGUUACACGCCAGCGCCGGGCACGUCCCCAGGAUCGCGACAAUUUUAAUUUUUUAUGUUAAUUUGUACUUUCUUAUAAUUUAUUAUGUAAAUAUUCCUUUUAUUUUUAUAUUUUUCUUUUUUUAAUAUUUAUUUAAUGAAUCUAACAUAAUUAUUUGUUUGAAUAUAGACUUCGUAAUAUUUAAAAAUUUUAGGACUAAAUUCUUAGAAAUAAAAAUAUACAAACUAAAUUCUAAAUUUACAAAAAAAUAUAUAGGACUUGGGGGAUUUUAAUUUUGUAAUAGUAAAUAGGAGGAAAUAGAAAAAAAAUAAAAAGACAAUUAAUAUGUGAACAAAAUCUAAAUGUUUGCAAUUUCUAGAUAAUUGUGUGAUUAAUAGGACAUAUUUUUCGAUACAUUAAGGAUAAAUUUUUUUCAGAAUUUCUAUGACAGAAUUUAAAACUUAUUUCUUUAAUUCUUACAUCUUCGAUUAAGGUCCACUUAGUGUAUCCUCUAAGAAUUGAAUCUAUCUAUUAACAGCGCAUAUUUUUAGUAUAUUUAUAUCUGACUCUGACACGAAAUUUUUUUUUAAAUUGUACUGGGUGCCGGCCAUUGACAGGCCAGCACCCAAAAUUUUUUUUUAAGUUUUUUUCGUAUAUUUAUAUCUGAUUCUGACACGAAAAAAAGAUUUUUUUAAUUUGUACUGGGUGCUGAUUUUUUUUUAUUUUUUCGUAUAUUUAUAUCUGACUCUGACACGAAAAAAAAAGUAAAUUUUUUUUAAAUUGUACUGGGUGCCACCCAUUGACAGGCCGGCACCCAAAAUUUUUUUUAUUUUUUCGUAUAUUUAUAUCUGACUCUGACACGAAAAAAAAGAAUUUUUUUUAAAUUGUACUGGGUGCCGGCAAUUGACAGGCUAGUACCCAAAUUUUUUUUUAUUUUUUUCGUAUAUUUAUAUCUUAUUCUGACAAAAAAAAAGGAAAUUUUUUUUACUGUUGGGUGCCGGCCAUUGACAGGCCAGCAACCAAAAAAUAUUUUUUUUUUCUUUUUUUUCUCCUUUUUCGUAUAUCAGUAUUAUACAAAUUUUAAAAAAUACAUGAGUUCCGGCCACUGACAGGCCAGAACCCAAAAAAUUAAUUUUUAAAAUUCUGACACAAUUAUUAGACAAUCAUUGGUGCAAAAAACGAGUGAGUACUGUUCAUUUUAGGUUAUUUUGGUGAUUGUUUUUGAACUUGGUUUAUUUUUGCAAAUAUAAUUUAUUUUUGGGUUAGUUUGGUAAAACAGCCGCAGAUAAUAAAUCAAAGCGCAAGUCGGAGGACCGGAUCAAUGCUAUUGACCCAAAUCCGACUAGCUCCAGGUACGGCAUCAAUCGUGCAUCCGGAGCUAUCUUUAAAACACUCACACGGCCACUUAAUACUCGGAACGAGUCCUGAUAGUGUUAAAUUACAGAAAAAAUAUUACGAUAACAUAAUUUAUUUGUAUAUACUGUGUGUAUCUUUUUUAAAUAAAUAGAACUCCUGAUUAACAAAUAAUAAAUCAUACCACGUUAUUAGCCGCAUCAGAUAUGUGUCUAAUAUCGCUUCGAAUCAAUCGAGGCAUUGCGAUGCCUGCAAGUUGAAAAGAAAGUUAGUAAAAAAAUCUUACAUCGGCCAUUUAUUUGUAUUUUUUUCUCCGCAUUUUAUUCCUUUAAAAAAUAUCAUAAUUUCUAAUUUUAUAAUUUUACAUUAUUUCAGUGCAUAAUGUUUAAAAUUUAUUAAUAUAGUUUGUUAUUUAAAUUAAUUUGGUGUAAAAAAAUAACCCUUACCCCUGCCCUUUGCUCGUAUUAUUUUCUCGAUUUUUAUUACUUUAAAUAAAAAUAUAUUAUUCUCCUAUUUUAUUAUUUUAUAUUAUUUCAGUACAUUUUCUUUGAAAUAUUUUGUAUUAUUUAUUUCUGAAUUUUAAAAAAGUUAGUAAUACACUUUUACUUUUGCCAUUUGUUCGUAUUUUUUUCUCCGCAUUUUAUUACUUUAAAAAAUAUCAUAAACUUAGUCUUUUAUAAUUUUACAUUACCUUUUAAUCCCUCCUUAUUUAUUAUUUUCUUUUAUUCCCCCUUAACACACUAAAUUAAUAAAUUUCUAAUAUUAUGCACUGAAAUAAUGUAAAAUUAUAAAAUUAGAAAUUAUGAUAUUUUUUAAAGGAAUAAAAUGCGGAGAAAAAAAUACGAAUAAAUGGCCGAAGUAAGAUUUUUUUACUAACUUUUUUUUCAACUUGCAGGCAUCGCAAUGGCUCGAUUGAUUCGAAGCGAUAUUAGACACAUAUCUGAUGCGGCUAAUAACGCGGUAUGAUUUAUUAUUUGUUAAUCAGUUCUAUUUAUUUAAAAAAGAUAUAUGCAGUAUAUACAAAUAAAUUAUGUUAUCGUAAUAUUUUUUCUGUAAUUUAAUACUAUCAGGACUCGUUCCGAGUAUUAAGGGGCCGUGUGAGUGUUUUAAAGAUAGCUCCGGAUGCACGAUUGAUGCCGUACCUGGAGCUAGCCGGAUUUGGGUCAGUAGCAUUGAUCCGGUCCUCCGACUUGUACUUUAAUUUAUUAUCGGCGCUAGUGGAGCGGUGGCGUCCGGAGACCCACACUUUCCAUUUUCCGUGCGGAGAGUGCACGGUGACCUUGGAGGAUGUUGCAGUGUAGCUUGGGCUCCCAAUUGACGGGAGUCCCGUAACGGGAGUAUCUUCAUUCACCGAUCCGGCUGCACUUUGCUAUCAACUCCUAGGAGAGUCACCAGAGGACGGUGAUAAAUAUUUUUCCGGCAUAAAAUUUACAUGGCUAAAAGCCAAAAUUGGACAAUUAUCAGCGACCGCCACUGAAGGUGAGUUGAUGUGCGCCGCUCGAGCGUACAUCAUGCAUAUGAUAGGGGCAGUACUCAUGCCUGAUGCAAACGGCGACAGUGUGCAUUUGUGUACUUGCCCCUGCUGGCUGAUUUGUCCACUGCUAGGUCGUAUAGCUGGGGUUUCGCCGUUCUAGCAACGUUGUACUGGGAGCUUUUUCGGGCGACAAAGCCGCAUGUUAAAGACAUCGGCGGAUGCCUCAUAUUGCUGCAGUCCUGGGCGCUUUAUCGGAUGUCGUUUUUGGCACGCGUUAGUCACCAACCCUAUCUGUAUCCACUGCCACUCAGGUGAUAAAAUAUAAAUUGUCAUUAUUUGUAGUCAUAAUAUGUUGAGUAAUGUUACCAACCCUAAACCCUAUACUAUUUUAUUUAGGUGGACGACCCGUCUAGGCAUCGGGAAGUCGUGUGAUGUCCCGAUAUACCGCAUUAGGAUUGAAUAGCAUGCCCAGGAAGGGGUAAGAUGCUAUUCUAAUAUUCAUGACAUCUAUUUUAUUUCUAUGGUCAUGUGGCCAUAACGAAAGCCCUCGUCAAAACUUUGAGCCCACUGCUACGGCUCCAUUGUGCGCAACCAUUGUCAGAAAGAUGUGUUCGUCAGCCCUUCCAUGUCACUCUCAAGUCGGAUCAUUCUUUGCUGGAAAAUAUGUGGCUCUAACUCGUACGCUGCAUACGUAUUAACGAAAAAUAAGUUCUAGUAAGUCGAUAACAUCAAACAUUAUAACUUAUAUUGAAAAGAUAAGGUUAUCAUUUACCCAUUGCCACGACUUGUCUCUUCCAGUCUGCAUUCUUAUAAUCUUUAUGGAAGUUAGACGUAAUGUGACGAAUGCAGUAAACGGAUCUCCAUGGCACACCGGAACGCCUAAUAGCUGCAAUUAAACCAUUCCCUCUAUCGGAGAUGAUGCAAAUGUUAUCGUUCCUAAUAACAUACCUCCGCAGAUUUGUGAGAAAGAAUUCCCAAGACUCCAUGUUCUCUUUAUCUACGAUAGCAAAUGCUAUCGGGAGCACGUUUCUGUUACCGUCUUGAGCAACUGCAAGAAGUAGGAUCUGUGUAUAUUUUCCAUACAGCCAGGUUCCAUCCACCUGCACAAGUGGCUUGCAGUGGGGAAAUGCCCUCACACAUGGAUCGAACGUCUAGAAUAUUCGAUGGAAAAUCCUUUUUACUGGCUGUAACUGGUCAUCCGGGCUGUAAUAUGGACUUGUCUGCAACUCAAUCACAGUCCCCGGUACGUACUCUCGCAUAGCAGCUAUACAACCUUGAAGCUCGUUAUACGACGAAUCGUAAUCCCUAUACAGUUGCUCCAUCGCCAUCUGUUUAGCUAACCAUGCCUUCCGAUAUGAGACUCGAUACUGGAAUCGUGCUUGCAUUUCGCAAUGAGUACCGAAACUUUAAUGGUCGGCAUGUCCUUCACCAUUGGCAUGAUACACGUACAAAUAGUUUUCGAAUCAAGUUUUUCAUGAUCUUCUGUCAUACAUGUUGAUGUGCAUGUAUGAGGACCAACAAAUUUUCGUAUUUCCCACAUCUGAGAACUUCUAAUGAAUGCAGCUCGUACCCGCCAAUUGCAGCCUUCCGCUACCUUCCAACACUCCCCAACAUAUAUUGUCGGAGUGGACACGGAGACUUUAUAAUUCAUCGAUAUCUUCAUGCUGUACCGUUUAAUGGCAUAUACGCACUCUUCUUUACAGCUGAAUCUCUGGCCUAUGAAUAACUCAUCAUCAUUAGAUGUUACGGCCAGCCCGUGAGAAUGAACUAUUUCAGGGUACUCUGGUAACUCAGCUACAUACGCUGUGUCGGGGUCUAUGAGCGACAUGUGUGGCCCAGGAUUACUGUGUAUCAAAAUACGCCGCAUCUGCUCCCCGACCGAAGAAGCAUUAAUGCCUUCAUCGUUGUUGACAUCUUCAUUGUCAAUAUCAUCAGGUACAUCGUCCACAUCGGGAUCACCGUCAUUAUCGACCUUUUCAUCCCAAUGAUCGCCACCACCUUCUUCUUCGCCACCACCUUCUUCACCACCAACCAUGUCAACAUCGGGUGUAAUAUUCAGGUCGAUACCGAUCCCACCCAUAGUUGAUUCACUAUCAACGUAUGAUAUUGGAGCCACCAUCCACGGUUCUUUAGCCCCGUCAUCUUCAUCAGAUGCAUUAACUUCUUCAUUUUGCUCCAUACCGACUAACUCAGCAAAUAAGUGAAUCGGUGCAUUCUUCUCACUCCCAUUCCCAUAGUAGAGAUCGACCAUUGUCUCCACGUCUUCGUCGUCUACAAGUUUUAUUUCGACGAAUUUGACCGGAUUUGUCAAAACUGGAAACUUGUAGAAAAUUUUUGAUAUCCUUCUCCCACAACGUUUAUGAAUUUUUGCAUUAAUCCUUGCCUUCAUUUCAUCGAACGAUACAUUUCUAUUAAAUCUCAUUGCUAUUUGUUGCCGACAUUCAAAUACACAUCCAACACUUGUUGUCAAGAUGACUCCAUCGAAAUAAACGCAUACAAGAAACUUAGCUUCCAUCUUCAAUAUUUAAUCUGUCAAAAAAUAAAAUAAAAUCUCAUAAAAAUUCUCGAACGAUAACUAAAUUACUUAAAAAAAAUUGAAUGUUUUAACAUGCAAUUUUGUACAUGAAAACCUUUUAACCACUAAUCCUUAUAACUAACACACUAAUAAUAUUAAUAAUUUUAUACUCAAAAUAAUACACACUAAAAUUAUUAAUUUUACUAAAAAUAAUAACUAACUAACUAACUAUAAUAAUAAUACUAGUUUUUUACUAACUAGUUUAUUUUGGUAAAUAAAAAUAAUAAGUAACCAUAAUAAUAAUACUAGUUUUUUGCUAACAAUAAUAUUACUAAGUUAGAUCUUAAUUCAUUAAUAACAUCUUAAUACUAACAACAACAACAACAACAACAACAACGACAACAACAACAAUAACAACAACAACAACAAUAAUAAUAAUACUAACUAAUACUAUUAUUUUGAGUUUUAUUAAUCUUAAUAACUAAACUAAAACAAAAAUAUUACAAAAUAUACAAAAUAAUAACAACAAUAUAAUCAAUUAGUUUUAAAAAAUACCUUCUUUUUCUCUUCUUUUCUGCAGCACCUCUUCUUCUUCUUCUUUUUCUUUUGAUUUUUCUCCCUUCAGCUGGACAGAGCUCGUAUUUAUAAUACGAGUAGUGCCGCCAAUCAGUAUGGCACCAUUGGUGCCGCCAAUGGCAUUGGCAACAUUGGUGCCGCCAAUGGCAUUGGCACCAUUGGUGCCGCCAAUGGUUUUGGCACCUUUGGUGCCGCCAAUGGCUUUGGCGUGACCAAGGUGCUGUCACAUCGGUGCAGAUUUUUUUGCAAGUUUUUUUUUGAUAUAUUUUGGUAAAUAAAAAAAAGUUAUAACAUUUUGGUUUCUUUUUUAUUUUUUAUAAUAUUUUUGUAAAAAACCCGAUAAAUACAGUUAAAGAAAGUUGUGUCUUUUAAAAUAAACAAAAACUUGGAAUAAGAUUCAAUAAGCGAGUUUUGUUAGUGGAUUUGAAACAGAAAAUUAGUAUAAAUAUAACUACCUGUUGUGGGAAGCAAAUGUUGAGAUUAUUAUAGAUCCUUUCAGGUUUUCAAAAAUGGAGUUUGAAGAUUAUGAUGAUCUAGAAAUAAUAAUAACAAUUUAUUGCCCCUUAAGGUGGAUAACUCUAGCCUGAUUGAGUUGUUUGCAGAGAUAGUUGAACCAUAAUCUAUUGAAGUUGUAAUUUUAGUAAGUCAAUAUUUUGGAAUUGAUUUUGAUUUUAAAUUUUGGUGAGAAGAUCAAUCGCGUUAUGAAGGGUCACUGUAAACUCUCGAAAAUAAGUUGUAAUUUUAGUAAGUAAAUAUUUUGCAAUUGAUUUUGAUUUUAAAUUUUGGUGAGAAGAUCAAUCGCGUUAUGAAGGGUCACUGUAAACUCUCGAAAAUUCAAAUUAUAAUUGAUGUUUGUAUAAUGUCCUAAUCUCGUAUUCUCAUUUAGAGAUUCAUCUAGAUGUGUUAAUCACCA
rnacentral:lncRNA from 1 species